AUUCGAGUAGCUUAUUAAUAGAGUAUGUCGUUGAAGUUGAUAGGGAAAUUUUAAAUUCUCGAAUA
rnacentral:tRNA from 1 species